rnacentral:rRNA from 1 species
GUGGGGAAUAUUGGACAAUGGGCGAAAGCCUGAUCCAGCCAUGCCGCGUGAGUGAUGAAGGCCUUAGGGUUGUAAAGCUCUUUCAGUGGGGACGAUAAUGACGGUACCCACAGAAGAAGCCCCGGCUAACUUCGUGCCAGCAGCCGCGGUAAUACGAAGGGGGCUAGCGUUGUUCGGAUUUACUGGGCGUAAAGCGCACGUAGGCGGAACGUUAAGUCAGGGGUGAAAUCAUGGAACUCAACUCCAGAACUGCCUUGGAUACUGGCGAGCUAGAGUCCGGAAGAGGUGAGUGGAACUCCUAGUGUAGAGGUGGAAUUCGUAGAUAUUAGGAAGAACACCAGUGGCGAAGGCGGCUCACUGGUCCGGUACUGACGCUGAGGUGCGAAAGCGUGGGGAGCAAACAGGAUUAGAUACCCGGGUAGUCC